UGAGAGGGACGAGUUUAUUUU
ensembl:piRNA 21ur-7260 ncRNA